rnacentral:rRNA from 1 species
CACGAACUGUGCAAACGUUAUUCGGAAUCACUGGGCUUAAAGAGUUCGUAGGCGGCGCGUUAAGUCGGGUGUGAAAGCCCUCGGCCCAACCGAGGAAUUGCGCCCGAAACUGGCGUGCUUGAGUAAGAUAGAGGUGAGCGGAACUGAUGGUGGAGCGGUGAAAUGCGUUGAUAUCAUCAGGAACACCGGUGGCGAAGGCGGCUCACUGGGUCUUAACUGACGCUGAGGAACGAAAGCUAGGGGAGCGAACGGG